UGUCGACGGUUUGUUCAGCUGCCGUUAGCGCCGGAGGCCUCACCGGACCUCACCGAGUGAUGACGCGGCGACGAAGACUGGAUCCGCGAAAACCACCAUGUAUUUCUGCAGCCUCCAUCCCCACAGAUCUUCUUCUCCUGCUCCUCGCCGUGUCUUGACUUGCAGUCCCGAGGGUUCCUGGCUCACCUGACUCCACCUGCAACUGCGUGCUUGGCGGGCUGCUGCACUCCUCAUUCGAGGCCACUGCGACCACAUCAUAGGUCUGACCACACUCCAGCUCCUUCAGCUCGCAGUUGGUGAAGUCGG